rnacentral:rRNA from 1 species
GACAGAGGAUGCAAGCGUUAUCCGGAAUGAUUGGGCGUAAAGCGUCUGUAGGUGGCUUUUUAAGUCUGCUGUCAAAUCCCAGGGCUUAACCCUGGACAGGCGGUGGAAACUACCAAGCUGGAGUACGGUAGGGGCAGAGGGAAUUCCCGGUGUAGCAGUGAAAUGCGUAGAGAUCGGGAGGAACACCAGUGGCGAAGGCGGCUACCUGGACCAG